rnacentral:sRNA from 1 species
UAAUAUGAAAAAUCUAAAUGUGCUACUGC